rnacentral:rRNA from 1 species
CCUACCCUAGGGACGGGGAUAACCUCGGGAAACUGAGGCUAAACCCCGAUAGGCCAUGGCACCUGGAAUGGGCCUUGGCCUAAAUCUACAUGGCCCUAGGAUGGGACUGCGGCCGAUCAGGUUGUUGGUGGGGUAAUGGCCCACCAAGCCUAUAACCGGUGCGGGCUCUGAGAGGAGGAGCCCGGAGAUGGGCACUGAGACAAGGGCCCAGGUCCUAUGGGGCGCAGCAGGCGCGAAACCUCCGCAAUGGGCGAAAGCCCGACGGGGUCAGUCCGAGUGGUCUCCGCUGAGGAGACCUUUUGCCAACUGUAAACAGGUUGGCGAAUAAGGGGUGGGCAAGUUUGGUGUCAGCCGCCGCGGUAAUACCAGCACCCCGAGUGGUCGGGACGAUUAUUGGGCCUAAAGCAUCCGUAGCCGGCCUGGUAAGUCUCUCGUUAAAUCCAACGGCUCAACCGUUGGGCUGCGGGGGAUACUGCUAGGCUAGGGGGCGGGAGAGGCGAGGGGUAUUCCCGGGGUAGGGGUAAAAUCCACUGAUCCCGGGAGGACCACCAGUGGCGAAGGCGUCUCGCUAGAACGCGCCCGACGGUGAGGGAUGAAAGCUGGGGGAGCGAACCGGAUUAGAUACCCGGGUAGUCCCAGCCGUAAACGAUGUAGGCUCGGUGUUGGGUUGCCUCAGUGGCAGCCCAGUGCCGCAGGGAAGCCGUUAAGC